rnacentral:rRNA from 1 species
GAUGAACGCUGGCGGCGUGCCUAAUACAUGCAAGUCGAGCGAACAGAUGAGGAGCUUGCUCCUCUGACGUUAGCGGCGGACGGGUGAGUAACACGUGGAUAACCUACCUAUAAGACUGGGAUAACUUCGGGAAACCGGAGCUAAUACCGGAUAAUAUAUUGAACCGCAUGGUUCAAUAGUGAAAGACGGUUUUGCUGUCACUUAUAGAUGGAUCCGCGCCGCACUAGCUAGUUGGUAAGGUAACGGCUUACCAGGGCAACGAUGCGUAGCCGACCUGAGAGGGUGAUCGGCCACACUGGAACUGAGACACGGUCCAGACUCCUACGGGAGGCAGCAGUAGGGAAUCUUCCGCAAUGGGCGAAAGCCUGACGGAGCAACGCCGCGUGAGUGAUGAAGGUCUUCGGAUCGUAAAACUCUGUUAUUAGGGAAGAACAAAUGUGUAAGUAACUAUGCACGUCUUGACGGUACCUAAUCAGAAAGCCACGGCUAACUACGUG